ensembl:lncRNA
CCUGCAUGCCUGUGGCCUUCUGAAGACUUUCUUUUUGUGCUGAAGUAAGUCCAGGAGCUUCUUGCUGAUCCACGGGAGCCUCUUGGCAUUUUUUCCAUGGGAUGUCCUGCUUCUGGGCUUGGAGGAGAUAGUCCAUGAAGUAUGAUGGUCCAUGAAGUAUGUUACCUGUUUGAAUAAUGGUAAUUAGCACAAAUAACUAUAACUGAACCCAUUUUACUUGAUUCUGACUAGCCUGUGCUACUUUAUCCUGAGAAGAAGAAAAAACAAAACAGAAGAACAAAAUAAAACAAAAAAGACAAAAACUAACAAACAAACAAAAAACAUUGAAGCUGGUAAUGCAAUAAGACAAAUGAAGUACAUAAUUGUAUCAUCGAGGACUGAAAGCCCCCACAAGUCCACUUCAGGCAAA